AACAACUCUCCCCAACUUAGCAUUUUGUUUGUCCCUAAACAAAAGUUUCCACCCUUACAACCAAAGUCAUGACACAAAAGAUUUAAACAAGAAUUCAUCAAGGACAUUCAAAUGGUUCAAAAGCGUUUGGCGUUUUCUCAAUUCACUUAUCUCAACUCUAGACAAAACAUAAAUAAGGGAAAUGGUAAAGUGCAAAAAUCAUUCCAAGGAUUUCAAAGUCAUACAUGUCAAAAUUGAAUCAAACUUACACACACAUCAAUAUUGAUGAAUAACAUGAAGGGUUACUUUCACUCAUCCAAGCAGUUAAAUCAACAACAACUCAAAUCAUGCGGUUAUCACAACAAGUACCAAAUUAUGUGAAAAAUGAGAAUCAAGAGGUCUUUCAAAGGUUGUAAUGUGGCUUAGGUUACAAGAAAGGAUAAGAUUAAAGGAAUUCAACCAAAUUGCCUAUCCUAAGGGAGCAUUCCCAAAGAUUCAACUCUACACAAUUUCCUUUUCCUUGGUCCCUAUCUUUUUCUUUUUCUUUUUCUUUUCAACUCCACACAACCAUGAGCAUUUACUUUGCUUUUCUUUUUCUCUAAUUUUUUUUUUUUAUGCUCUAUGGUUUCAAGGGUGAUUUCUUUUUCUUGUUUCUUUUCAUAUUCUUACCCUUUCAUAGAAACUCACUUUUCCAAGUUUCUAAUCAACUUUUCACUUUACUCUCCCCAACUUUAGAUUCCAAAACCAAAUUUAUUCAAUAAUGCUCCCUACUUAAACAUAAGCAAAAGGCAAAAUUUUUGCAAACAACUCGGUUUGAGGUUUCAACUGAUACGAAAGAAAUUAGGAUUCAUUUAUUCCACAAUUUUCAAUUGAUUUUACAAUGAUCAAUCAAAUGAAUCCUAAAAUAAGCUCAAAGGGGGUUAACUAAGGAUUACUCCUCACAAGGUUAGUUGAUUUAAGCUUUUUGGUCAAGUGGUUUUUCUCACAAACAAUGCCUCUAUCAUUUUCAAAAAUUUCACACAACAUUAGAUUGAUGCAUGAUUUAGCAUGAUAAGAAUGAGUCAAAAUAAUGCUCGGUUUCCCGCUUUUUUAGUGCACAAUGGAAAGCUUCCUCACAAAUGGUUAAGUCCUAUUUUGAUUCACACUGACAUAUACUUCAAUGAAAUUAUGAACUGAAAUUUGCACACACCAUUAAACUACUCAUGUUAAGUCUAGAAAGCGAUAAAGUGUACCUUGAAAUGCCGACACUAAUUCUUAUCAUCACCACUCGAAGUAUCCUAUGCUUCUUUCUUUGCGAACAAUUCUUGGUUGCUUUAGGCUUGACUUAAGCGUAAGAACAAUUAAAUAGAACUGUUGGUAAACCAAUUUGAUUAAAAACACACUUAAAUUUCAAAAAGUACUCAUGCAAUUAUAAAAAUACUAAAGAAAAAUUAAAGUGCUAAGGUAAAGUCAUGGUGAACUAGAGCCACCCAAAAGUACAUUACAAAAUUCCCAAAAACAAAAACAGAAUUAGUAAAAAGAAACUCAAACAUACAACACUCUCAAAACUCCACAAAUUCAAUCCUCCUCCUCUUCAUCACCACCUACACUUCCGAGAACAUCUUCCAUCUCCUCAUUUG
rnacentral:lncRNA from 1 species